rnacentral:rRNA from 1 species
CAAUAGCGUAUAUUAAAGUUGUUGCGGUUAAAAAGCUCGUAGUUGGAUUUCUGCUGAGAACGACCGGUCCGCCCUUUGGGUGUGUAUCUGGCUCUUUCUUGGCAUCUUCUUGGUGAACGUUGCUGCACUUGACUGUGUGGAGCGCUACCCAGGACUUUUACUUUGAGGAAAUUAGAGUGUUUCAAGCAGGCAUACGCCUUGAAUACAUUAGCAUGGAAUAAUAAGAUAGGACCUCGGUUCUAUUUUGUUGGUUUCUAGAGCUGAGGUAAUGAUUAAUAGGGAUAGUUGGGGGCAUUCGUAUUUAACUGUCAGAGUUGAAAUUCUUGGAUUUGUUAAAGACGGACUACUGCGAAAGCAUUUGCCAAGGAUGUUUUCAUUG